CCCCCCCCCCCCCCCGUGGCCCCAUCCAUUGUUGGAGCCGCGGAGCUGUGCAAGCGCGGAGGGCGCGCAGCGGUACCGAACGGCCCCGCCGAGCUGCGGGCCCACGCGGGCGGCCGAACCCCGCGCACUCCUACAGGUGGUGGUGUCGGGGGGAGCGCCCCGCGCCCCCCGCACCGCCCCACCCCCCAACCCGCGCUGCGCUCAGCGCUGCGGGACCCCGCGCGGCACCUCCGGCCCGAGCGCAGCGAUCGCGGUGCAACCCCGGCACGGGAGGGGAAGGGAGGAGAGAGGGGGGAGGAAAGAGAAAGGCGAAAGAAAAGAAAGAAAGGCGGAAAAAAGGAAAAAAAAAAAAAGGAAAAAAAAAAAAAAGGACAAAAAUAAUUAAAACGAUAAAAAGCAACGCGUGAGGAGGCGAGGGGCGCCGGCGGAGCCGCGGUGGGGUUUGGGGAGGGAGAGGAAAAAGGAGCGGAAAAAGGGGAGAGAAUGGAAAGAUAAACACGGUACCUCGGAGCGGAGCCCUGGAAUAAAAAGGGUUUUACGAAAGUGGCGCGAAGACAAUAUCAUGUGAUCCCAGCCAGGGCGGCUCCCUCCGCACCGACCAGCCAAAAAAAGGGAGAGGAAUAAAGGGGGAAAAAAGUACAUCCGCUCUCCGCGCCAUUAGCAUAAUUAAUUGUGUCCUGCAGCUGCGGCCGCCGCUCCCCGGCCCGGCCUCCUCUUCCUCCCGGUGCGGGCCGAGCCGGGCGGGCUGCGGGGCUGCGGGGCGCUGCCGGCCCGGCCCCACGCGGGGCUGCGCGUCCCGGCCGGGCUGAGCCGAACCCGCGGCCUCGGGGUCCACGCGCGGCUCCGCGCCGUGGGGCCGCACGCCCGGGGCCCCCGCGCACGUGGGGCCGCUCCCAUCUCGCGGUCCGAGCGGCAGCCCCGGCUCACAGCCCCGCGCCGCUUCCCCGCGUCCGCUCGCGGCUCGGGCGCUGCCGAGCGAGAGCGCGGCCCCGCCGGGCGGCCCGCGGCUGUAUGGGGGUGAAAACCCCACGAGGGAGAGGCCCCGGCCUGGCUUGGCCUACGUGCAGCCCGCCCCACGCCGGCACCCCGGCCCGCCCGCCCCACGGCUCACCGCGAGGGCCUGCGUGGGGUCGGGGCCCCGCGUGCGGUUAGGUGCGGCUGGCGGCCGGCCCCGCACGGGGCUUUGUGGCCCAGGACCCCGGCCCUGAGAGCGGCCCGCCGCCCGGGGCGAGGGGUCGGUGCGCCUCGGCGGGCGGCCUUCGCAGGAAUGCCAAAAAUGCGCUAAUUGUGCCCUGCCGCGCCUCCGGGAUUAGGGGUAGCCGUCUUUUAGGAAACGGGAGCGUGGCUCGACCGAUAGCGAAGGGCUGCGCCCCGCGUCCCCCCGGCCCUUGGGUUCGGUGCGGCGAUCCGGCGGUUCCUGGCAUCGCCCUGCGCGCCGGGAUCUGAAGUUGGAACAAAAAGGUCCCCAUGGAAACAGGGAGUCAUCUAUCAGUACCGCGUUCGAGUAAAGCUCGGUGAGUUGUGCGGAGCUCUCUGGAGGCAGCAAGGGGAAGAAAUGACAACCAGAAGGAAACCGGAGGUGGAUGCAAGGGAUGCAUCGUUGUGGAACAGAAAAUUGGUUCUCCAAACAAACUGCUCCAAGUGAGUGGAUGGAUGGGGAGAUGUCUGACAUUAACAACAUGUAACUGCUUUCUGAAAACCCUGGGAUACCUGAAAGCCUUAAGAAGGAGUGCUGCUGCAGUUGCAAAGCGAUAGAAUGAAGUCAAUACCCAAAAUGAUGCUGCAGCCACAUCUGGAGUUUGCUUCAGGUGGAGUGCUUUAUCUCUCUGAAAGGGAACGUCGCACAUCUCGGGGUCGUCUUAAAGAGAAACAGAAGAUGCAGAGGAGUACAUCCGAGAAAAGCACUUUAUUCCCUCAGCACAGAUUGACUCCCCAGGUCCCACCUGGAGCAGAACUUUCCCUGCAGUUCCCCCAGCACAGCUCUGGUACAUCCGUGCAGGAUUGGACUUACUGAGGGGUUUGCCUUCAUUUCUCCUUCUGCCCACUUUGGGGUGCCCGCAUUACCUGCAGCCACACGUCCUGCAUUGCUGCCUUGCCUCUGUUGUACCGCAUUCUGCUGAAAAAUACAUAGAAUGAAAAUGAUUUCCCACUUGUAAGGGCAGAAUAAAUAGAAAUACUUGCAGAUAAUGAUGCAGUUUUUUCCUCAGUGUCACCGAAAAACUUAACUCGGUUUUGUUUUCUCAAUCAUCCCUCUGUGUUUGCACUUCUCUGUUAAACAGCAACUGAGAACAAACCGAGAAUAAAAGUGGAGAGCGUUUUUAUUACAAAGGAUUUCACCUUUCUGUCAUUUUUGUACUAAAACAGAUCUGAAACUGCCAUCCACCUCUUCAGUUCAAUUUUUGUUUCACUGCAUUGGAGAAACUUUUAUAUAGAAAAACAAGAGAUGGAUAACCUUUAUUUCUCUGCAUUUUCUGUGUGUCCUCUCCUAAAUGAGACCAAUCUACGCAUGGAAUGGGGAAUUACUUGUGGUCAGAAAUAAACAGCAAUGGCAUGAAGUUUGAGGCUAUUUUCCCUUCUUUUACAGCAUUGAUUGCUGUAACGCAUAACGUAACGUUUGCUGUAUACCUGAUAUGCUGUGAGGGGUCACCACAAACUGAUGUCUUUUUAAGAGCUCUUUGACAAUUUAUUAUGGACACGUUUAUUAGAACAAAAUGCAAAGGUAAAGAGCAAAAGCUGCUCUGUCUCCUGUUUACUUCUGUAGUUCAGUGGAUGUGUAAAAGCGCUGAAUUCUGCACUCAGCCUUCAGCAGGCUGCAAUUCAACUUCUGUGCAGCAACUCCAUGCAAUUGCUAUACGCUUCGAUUCUGAGACUUCCUUCCACUUUCAGUGACAUUGGGGCACUGAAAAAGUUAAAGGAACUCAUCCUUUCACAGCUCUGAGUUCUUGGUGUAUUUCUGCCGGGUGGGUAAAGUCCUGAAAUCCGGAGAUAAGUGCUCCAACUGACCCUGAAAUCUGGAUAGAAGUCGUCUCCCUGACAAUGCAGCUACUUGCAUGAGCAAACGACCCAAGUUGUGUGCACAGGGUAGGGCCCCAUGCAAUAUAGAAAUGCUAUGUUGAAAAUGCUUCCCACAUUAGCUACCUCAGUAAUAGCUUUUGAAUCUUUUUUCACGCCAAUACCUAUU
rnacentral:lncRNA from 1 species